GGAGAGGUGCCAGAGUGGACGAUUGGGGUACUCUCGAAAAGUACUGUGGCUUUACGGUCACCGUGGGUUCGAAUCCCACCCUCUCCG
rnacentral:tRNA from 1 species